AUUGAACGCUGGCGGCAGGCCUAACACAUGCAAGUCGAACGAGUGGCGGACGGGUGAGUAAUGUCUGGGCAACUGCCCGAUGGAGGGGGAUAACUACUGGAAACGGUAGCUAAUACCGCAUACCAUCGGAUGUGCCCCGAUGGGAUUAGCUAGUAGGUGGGGGAAUGGCUCACCUAGGCGACGAUCCCUAGCUGGUCUGAGAGGAUGACCAGCCAACAUGGAACUGAGACACGGUCCAUACUCCUACGUGAGGAAGCAGUGGGGAAUAUUGCACAAUGGGCGAAAGCGUGAUGCAGCCAUGCAGCGUGUAUGAAGAAGGCCUUAGGGUUGUAAAGUACUUACAGCGGGUAGGCGUUACCCGCAGAAGAAGCACCGGCUAACUCCGUGCCAGCCGCCGCGGUAAUUC
rnacentral:rRNA from 1 species